UUUCUUAUAUGUUCAUUGCAGUAGGUUUUUUUUUUUUUUUUUCUUUUGUAGACUAUGGUAUUGUGUCUGAAAAAAUAUCAAAAAUAUUUUGUCACAAAUCUUGAAUUUGGUUAAUUAUUUAUGUUUGUCAAAAUAUUUGGCUUUACUGAUUGAUCAUUUGUUGUCCAUUGUUUUAUGAAUCAUUUUUAUAUGGUAUAUGAAUAUAAACACAGUUGAUCAUUUUUAACCCUUUAGCAUUCAGAUCACUCUGUGAAUUGUGAUGCCUGUUUAACUACAUUGUUUUGAAUUAAUCAUACAUUAACAUUUUGAAAAUUUCAAUGAUCAUUUAGUUUUAAAAUGACACUGUAGGGUACAUGUUAAUAAAACAGGUACCACAUUUUCCAGCUUACAAGUGAAAAUUUUCAGGCUAAAGCUAGGUUAACUUUUUGCAAGACCAAAAGUUCCCUCUGAAAUACAGCAGGAUUUGGAAAUAUAGAUAUUUGGAUGUUUACACUAUAUACUGUGUUGGCUUGUAUGGUGAAACGUCUGGGUCAGUUCAAAUAAUAAAGGACUAAAUUACAUAUAUGUAAUAUUUUCCCAAUGCUUGUUGAUGUCACCAUUCUUUACUCUCCAUUGUAAGUUGUCAUGUCAAUGUACUUGCCAAAAUAUUGGUGAAAUAAACUCUAUUUUUACACUUGAA